AACGAACGCUGGCGGCAGGCCUAACACAUGCAAGUCGAGCGAGGACUUCGGUCCUAGCGGCGGACGGGUGUGUAACGCGUGGGAACGUGCCCUUUGCUACGGAAUAGCCCCGGGAAACUGGGAGUAAUACCGUAUGUGCCCUUCGGGGGAAAGAUUUAUCGGCAAAGGAUCGGCCCGCGUUGGAUUAGGUAGUUGGUGGGGUAAUGGCCUACCAAGCCGACGAUCCAUAGCUGGUUUGAGAGGAUGAUCAGCCACACUGGGACUGAGACACGGCCCAGACUCCUACGGGAGGCAGCAGUGGGGAAUCUUAGACAAUGGGGGAAACCCUGAUCUAGCCAUGCCGCGUGAGCGAUGAAGGCCUUAGGGUUGUAAAGCUCUCUCAGUGGGGAAGAUAAUGACGGUACCCACAGACGAAGCCCCGGCUAACUCCGUGCCAGCAGCCGCCGUAACAC
rnacentral:rRNA from 1 species